rnacentral:rRNA from 1 species
UACGGGAGGCAGCAGUGAGGAAUAUUGCACAAUGGGGGAAACCCUGAUGCAGCAACGCCGCGUGGAGGAUGACGCAUUUCGGUGUGUAAACUCCUUUUAUAUGUCAAGAAAAUGACGGUAGCAUAUGAAUAAGCACCGGCUAACUCCGUGCCAGCAGCCGCGGUAAUACGGAGGGUGCAAGCGUUAUUCGGAAUCACUGGGCGUAAAGGACGCGUAGGCGGGUUGGAAAGUCAGGUGUGAAAGCCUACAGCUUAACUGUAGAACUGCACUUGAAACUCCCAACCUAGAGUAUGGAAGGGGCAGAUGGAAUUAGUGGUGUAGGGGUAAAAUCCGUAGAUAUCACUAGGAAUACCGAAAGCGAAGGCGAUCUGCUGGGACAUUACUGACGCUAAGGCGUGAAAGCGUGGGGAGCAAACAGGAUUAGAUACCCUGGUAGUCCACGCCCUAAACGAUGAACACUAGUCGUCGGGGUACUAGUUACUUCGGUGAUGCACUUAACAGAUUAAGUGUUCCGCCUGGGGAGUACGGUCGCAAGAUUAAAACUCAAAGGAAUAGACGGGGACCCGCACAAGUGGUGGAGCAUGUGGUUUAAUUCGAAGAUACGCGAAGAACCUUACCUAGCCUUGACAUUGAGAGAACACUUUAGAGAUAGAGUGGUGCCCUUCGGGGAGCUUGAAAACAGGUGCUGCACGGCUGUCGUCAGCUCGUGUCGUGAGAUGUUGGGUUAAGUCCCGCAACGAGCGCAACCCUCGUCCUUAGUUGCCAGCAGUUCGGCUGGGCACUCUAAGGAGACUGCCUUCGCAAGGAGGAGGAAGAUGAGGACGACGUCAAGUCAUCAUGGCCCUUAUGGCUAGGGCUACACACGUGCUACAAUGGGGCGUACAGAGUGUUGCGAUACCGCGAGGUGGAGCUAAUCACUUAAAGCGUCUCUCAGUUCGGAUUGGAGUCUGCAACUCGACUCCAUGAAGCUGGAAUCACUAGUAAUCGUAGAUCAGCAAUGCUACGGUGAAUACGUUCCCGGGUCUUGUACUCACCGCCCGUCACACCAUGGGAGUUGAUUUCACCCGAAAUCG